ACCCGCUGAACUUAAGCAUAUCAAUAAGCGGAGGAAAAGAAACCAACAGGGAUUGCCUCAGUAACGGCGAGUGAAGCGGCAUCAGCUCAAAUUUGAAAUCUGGCUCUUUCAGGGUCCGAGUUGUAAUUUGUAGAGAAGAUUUCGGGCACGACCUCCGGUUAAAUUUCUUGGAACAGAAUGUCAAAGAGGGUGAGAAUCCCGUCUUGACCGGACGGUACGACCUAUGUGAAACUUCUUCGACGAGUCGAGUUGUUUGGGAAUGCAGCUCUAAAUGGGUGGUAAAUUUCAUCUAAAGCUAAAUAUUGGCCAGAGACCGAUAGCGCACAAGUAGAGUGAUCGAAAGAUGAAAAGCACUUUGAAAAGAGAGUUAAACAGUAUGUGAAAUUGUUGAAAGGGAAGCGCUUGCAAUCAGACUUGAGCGCGUCGGUUCCCCUAGGCUUCUGCCUAAGUUACUCCGGCGUGUCCAGGCCAACAUCGGUUUGGGUGGUUGGUUAAAGACUUUGGGAAUGUAUCUUAUCCUUCGGGGCAAGACUUAUAGCCCAGGGUGUCAUGCGGCCUACCCAGACCGAGGAACGCGCUUCGGCUCGGAUGUUGGCGUAAUGGUUGUAAGCGACCCGUCUUGAAACACGG
rnacentral:rRNA from 1 species